rnacentral:tRNA from 2 species
GUCAGUUUGGCCGAGUGGUCUAAGGCGCUAGACUUGAAAUCUAGUAUCUUCGGAUGCACAGGUUCGAACCCUGUAGCUGACG